rnacentral:rRNA from 1 species
AAAAAUUGAACGCUGGCGGCAUGCUUAACACAUGCAAGUCGAACGGCAGCAGCACCUAAGCUUGCUUAGGUGGCUGGCGGGUGGCGGACGGGUGGGUMACGCGUGGGAAUCUGGCCCCUAGGGGGGGAAAACCCGGGGAAACCCGGGCUAAAACCGCAAAAUCCCUAAGGGGGAAAGCGGGGGACCGAAAGGCCCCGCGCUGGGGGAUGGGCCUGCGUCCGAUUAGCUAGUUGGUGGGGUAAGGGCCUACCAAGGCGAUGAUCGGUAGCUGGUCUGGGAGGACGAUCAGCCACACUGGGACUGGGACACGGCCCAGACCCCUACGGGGGGCAGCAGUGGGGAAAAUUGGACAAUGGGGGCAACCCUGAUCCAGCAAUGCCGCGUGGGUGAAAAAGGCUUUCGGGUUGUAAAGCCCUUUCAGUGGGGAAAAAAAGCGAUGUGUGAAAAGCACAUCGUGUUGACGUUACCUACAGAAAAAGCACCGGCUAACCCCGUGCCAGCAGCCGCGGUAAAACGGGGGGUGCGGGCGUUAAUCGGAAUUACUGGGCGUAAAGGGCGCGUAGGCGGUUUGGUAAGUUGGGUGUGAAAGCCCCGGGCCCAACCUGGGAAUGGCACUUGAUACUGCCUGGCUAGAGUUUGGUAGGGGGGGGCGGAAUUUCCGGUGUAGCGGUGAAAUGCGUAGAUUUCGGAAGGAACACCAGUGGCGAAGGCGGCCCCCUGGACCACACUGACGCUGGGGUGCGAAAGCGUGGGGGGCAAACAGGAUUAGAUACCCUGGUAGUCCACGCCCUAAACGAUGGGAACUAGACGUUGGGGGGGAUAGCCUUUCAGUGUUGCAGKCUAACGCGUUAAGUUCCCCGCCUGGGGGGUACGGCCGCAAGGUUGAAACCCAAAUGAAUUGACGGGGGCCCGCACAAGCGGUGGGGCAUGUGGUUUAAUUCGAUGCAACGCGAAAAACCUUACCUGGCCUUGACAUCCCCGGAACUUUGCUGGGAGGCGAAGGUGCCUUCGGGGGCCGGGGGACAGGUGCUGCAUGGCUGUCGUCAGCCCGUGUCGUGGGAUGUUGGGUUAAGUCCCGCAACGGGCGCAACCCUUUUCCCUAGUUGCCAGCGGUUCGGCCGGGCACCCUAGGGGGACUGCCGUUGACAAAACGGGGGAAGGUGGGGAUGACGUCAAGUCAUCAUGGCCCUUUUGGCCAGGGCUACACACGUGCUACAAUGGCCGGUACAGGGGGUGGCCAAGCAGCGAUGCGGGGCUAAUCCCAGAAAACCGGUCGUAGUCCGGAUUGCAGUCUGCAACCCGACUGCAUGAAGUCGGAAUCGCUAGUAAUCGCGGAUCAGCAAUGCCGCGGUGAAAACGUUCCCGGGCCUUGUACACACCGCCCGUCACHCCAUGGGGGUUGGUUGCACCAGAAGUGGGUAGUUUAACUUCGGGGGGACGCUUACUACGGUGUGGUCAAUGACUGGGGUGGGG